CUCAAGUGGUCAACAGGAGCUGGCCCGAGAAUUGGUUGUGUUGCUGACUACCCAAUAGAGCUGAGAACGCAGGCCUUGGAGUUUGUUAACCUAUCUCCGAAGUCUCCCCCAACGCCAUCCUACAGGCGGUUCCCUUGUCUCGCUUCACCUACAUCUGGUCUCGCAUCACCUACUUCUGGUCUCGUGUCACCUACAUCUGGUUUCGCAUCACCUACAUUGAAGUCCACCUCGGAUGUCAAUAACGGUGUUUAGACAGCGUCAUUUGGUGAUUGAACUGCACUAAUCAUCGCCAUCAUCAUUAGUUUUAUGCACCAUGCCUAAUGGAUGUUCUAGAGAAUGUAAAUAAUUGCUUCUCAUCAACUUCCUGUCAAACUCAACUUUUGUGAGUAAUGGUCAAGAGCAUUAUCUUUCUUACUUACAUCUUGUCAUGUUUUCAUGGAGUCACUACCGCUUCUGUUUAUCCCAUUAUUUGACAAGUGAACUGUAGCUAGGAAAAGUUUGACAUUCACUUCUGGAUUUUUGUCUGAAACAGUUCCUGACGCUGAAAAGUCAUCACUUUCGUUCCUGACGAAUACUUGGAUUGACUCAGGCUUAUCUGACUCAAUUAUUACGGGUACUUAGACCAAUUAGUGUGAGAUUAGUGCUCAAAAAAGGCCCCGUGGCCCAAAUAACUCCUUCCAAUCAAGUUUAAAGACGUAAUCUAACUCCCUGAAAAUGAAUGAAUUAACAAAAGUUCCAGGAUAUUUAAGGGCAUCUUAUUUCUUAGCAUCUUUUAUUUACUCUUUAGGUAAAUUUAAGCACAUAUUAUUUGAACUUUAGCUAGUGUGUAACUUGACUGCCUAAUUUUUCUAGGAAGUGGUUUCCGCGAAUCUUCCCGCACACCUUUAUUUAAUUUUGAUCUUUAGAUUGAAUAGAUCAAAGAAGAAUCAAUGUACAAAAAUACCAAGGGUGUGCAAAACAAGAAAAUAAACGUAUAAAAAUCAUUUCCCAAAUGCAGUUUUUGAACCAAAAAGAAAAAUAAACUCCAAAGAUGUUGCACAAGAAAGAAAGAAAGGGAAGCUCUUAGAACCAUAAAAGCACUAAUCAUGAAAGAAAGAAAACAAAAAAGGGAAAGAUAAACAAACAAAAAAAAAAAUCCUCAUAUAAAUUAUGUUAUUAGUUCUUUCAUCACAUCUCAUUGGCUAUUGCAUGAUUAGUUACAUGAUGAAGCAGAUAAAAACAUAAAUGUAUACAAUUAGUUACACGUAUGAUUUUCUUCCCGUAGAUACAUAUAAAAUAAAAGAGUCGUUAUUUAGUCAUGCGUUAAGAACCAAAUAAAAUAUUGUUUGCUAGGUCUAGAUAUUAGGGAUAACAAUUAAUUGCAUGAUUUGUUAACUUGAAACGACACGACCCGUUAACAAAUCAGAUUAUUAUCGGGUCAUCUGUUAAAAACCCCUUAAAAUAACAAGUUUGACAUAACACGACUUGUUAAGAUGAUUAGUAUGACACAAAAACGACAAAUACGACUUGUUUUCAGACAUAGAGGGAUGCGUUGGUACUACCCAUUUAUUAUGUUAUAAUUGGUUAUAAGUUGUGACCCACGUGAUUGGUCUUAAAACCAAGCAAAACUUUAGAACCCUCAAUUAGAAUUUAAGUUUUUAUAAAUGCGUGUUUGGGGCGACCAACUCUACUUUGAUAUAUCGUUUGAUCCAAGUGUGCUAUUGAAUUUUAUAAGAAGAAAAAUUAGAUUGUCAUCAAUGUAUAGUUGGAUACCUCCUGUAUUUAUUAAAAAAAAAAUCAGAUUGUAAAGUAAAAACGUUGUUCUUGAACUACUUAAUUUAUGGUGUAAUCUCAUCAAUCAUGAAAAACUAACAUCUUGUUAUAUUUAUAAGUUUUAUUUUUGUGUUAGAAAUAUCGAGGUUAAUACAUCGUAGAACUGAUGAUAUAAAAGAGUGGUGGAGGAUUGUGGAAAGAUAUAGAAGAAAUAUGUAAUGAAAUGUAGACAAGGUUAAAACUAAAAAUCAAAAUUAUUUUACGUUGAAGACUUUAGUUUAGUAAGUUGGCUAGAAUUGUAUGCUCCAAUUUUACACACUAAUUCGAAUGCUUUUGCGUAGGUUGAAGAACUCAGUGUAAUUCUCUUAUAUAUUAUGUCUCAUUUAUUUUUUCUCAUCCCUUCCACCGCUACUUUUCAUAAGCUAGAGGACAAUAUUUGUGGACGGAUGAGCGAUCAGACCGCCUAUAGGACAAGUAUUGGACUGUUGGACGAUCAACAAGCAAUACGUGCAAAAAAUGACUGUCACAAAUAUAAGAAUGUUUCGUUGGAUGUGUGGGCACACGAUAAAUGAUAUAAUUAAGAAUGAGGAUAUUUGAGAUAAAAUAAGAGUGGUCGAAAUUAAAGAUGAUAUGAUAGAAAAUCAAUUUAGGUAGUUUGGACAUAUGAACUAAAGACCUACAUAUUGUUGGAAAUGUGCCCUAAAGCCAAUCAUGUGAUGAUACUUUACGGACAUUUCACAUGUUAAA
rnacentral:lncRNA from 1 species